rnacentral:rRNA from 2 species
AUUGGGCCUAAAGCAUCCGUAGCCGGCUGCUCAAGUUUCCGGUUAAAUCCACACGCUUAACGUAUGGGCUGCCGGAAAUACUGUUCAGCUAGGGAGUGGGAGAGGUAGACGGUACUCGAUAGGAAGGGGUAAAAUCCUUUGAUCUAUUGAUGACCACCUGUGGCGAAGGCGGUCUACCAGAACACGUUCGACGGUGAGGGAUGAAAGCUGGGGGAGCAAACCGGAUUAGAUACCCGGGUAGUCCCAGCUGUAAACGAUGCAGACUCGGUGAUGCAUUGGCUUAUGGCCAGUGCAGUGCCGCAG